GAGCGGCCAUGCACGGCGGAGAGGGACCAGGGGGCGCCGUCCCUCAAGUCUGGCUGGUGGUGGCUGCGGCCGUGCUGAUGGUGUGGGCGGGCCGCCCUCCCCACCGCGUGGAGCCCCAGCUGCCCUCCCUCGCCCCGCUUCCUACCUAGACCACGAGAUAACAAGAUCACACCGUGCCUCAGGGACCAAUUAGAGUUAAGUCAAUAGUGGAAUUGGAUUCAUCGAUGUUUUUUGUCAUAAAGAAAGUGAAACAGAAAGCACAGAAUAUCAUGUCUGGCAACCGCUCUCCCACCUCGCCACUGGAGCUCUUCUUCCUUACCGACGGAACCCGAGGAAAAGUCGAGGAAACCCGAAAAAGGUCGAGGAAACCCGAAGAGGCCCGAUGGAAUCCGACGGAGCCCGACGGUCCUAGCAAGUCGAGGAAUCUGUUGUCUUGAGACGUAUUCUUUGAGGUCAAGCUGUUACUUUGUCCGCUAGUAAUCGGGCUUGGAUGUGUCCAGUAACGGGAUGCUGCCCCUCGCCCUUGCAAGCAGAUGUGUUUGGGACGAUAAUCUUCUGACACUGGACGAGAAGAACACUGAAAGAGGAGGAUGGCCUUGCUAUAAUACGCUGCAGUAUGCAAAUGAGAUAGUAGAAGAUAGAAAAGAAAGAAAAACAGGAAAAACAAACAAGAAAAAAAACACGUUUUCAACAAGGAAAUGGGAAAACGGAAAGAAAAAAAUAGAAAAAAAUGAAAGAAGCGAAACCCAGUUAUAGUGAAUAUGGUAAAAGGAAAGUGGCGUUUCCAUUGAAGAAUUCCAGACGAGAAGCAUUUUUCUAGACAAAGGGAGGGAGAAAGCCAAGACAAGUGUUCUGUGCUCCGGAAUCUGCACACUUAUCGGAAAUGACGUGGUUGUAAACUUGAUAUCUGUUCAUUCUGUAAAAAAAAAUCUCUGACUUUCAUGAAAAUAUUUAUGUAAAUGUAUAGAGACUGCCAUCGUUUUCCACGUUAAACCAGAAAAGUAGCGAAUCAAUAAUUUUGUAAUGAUGUCAGAUUGGUCCAUAUAUUUGUGUAUACAGUGUU